AAACUAACAAGGAUUCCCCUAGUAACGGCGAGUGAACCGGGAAGAGCUCAAAUUUGAAAUCUGGCGUCCUUCGGGCGUCCGAGUUGUAAUCUAUAGAAACGUUUUCCGUGCCGGACCGUGUCCAAGUCCCUUGGAACAGGGUAUCAGAGAGGGUGACAAUCCCGUACUUGACACGACGACCGGUGCUCUGUGAUACGUUCUCUACGAGUCGAGUUGUUUGGGAAUGCAGCUCAAAAUGGGUGGUAAACUCCAUCUAAAGCUAAAUAUUGGUGGGAGACCGAUAGCGAACAAGUACCGUGAGGGAAAGAUGAAAAGCACUUUGGAAAGAGAGUUAAACAGUAUGUGAAAUUGUUGAAAGGGAAACGAUUGAAGUCAGUCGUGACCGUUGGGUUCAGCCGGUUCUGCCGGUCUACUCCCUUCGGUCGGGUCAACAUCGGUUUUGACCGGCGGAUAAGGAAGGGAGGAAUGUGGCACCCUCCGGGGUGUGUUAUAGCCUCUCGUCGCAUACGUCGGUCGAGACCGAGGAACGCAGCUCGCCUUUAUGGCCGGGGUUCGCCCACGUCCGAGCUUAGGAUGUUGACAUAAUGGCUUUAAACGAC
rnacentral:rRNA from 1 species